rnacentral:lncRNA from 1 species
AAAGACAGCUGUAGGACUGUUUGGUUUUUGUACAGCUUGAUAUAAAAGAUUGCUCCUUCAUUAUUUUUGAAGAACUUACAUUUUGAGAAAUGUUUCUAAUCCAUUCUUCCAUCUUAACAUGAAGGAAACAAUAUGGGCUGUAGUGUCCACUACCUGCACUUGACACAGGUACGGAAUGUACAGCUUUGGUUUCACCUUACUGAAGGGGCACCUAUCUGUGAAUGGAGCUUAUACCUUUAUGAUAGUGAGAAACAUUUGGGCCAUACAUUAUCCUCAACCUUCCAGAAGAGGAAAUCCUGCACAGAAACACAGUCACAAGGAAGCAGUUCCUCAGAUAUGCCGUAUUGGCUCCUUUUAUGUCUGUAGUGGCUGUAUUGCUGACUUGCUAACUGCUCCACUUGUUGCCCAAGGCUGCCAGCUCACCCUCCCUGAGAAGACAGACCCAUUCCCAUUCUCUGCAGCCUUAGCAGCUAACACUGAAUUUCUACACUUGUUUCCUUCCACUUCUUCUUCCCCUUUCAUCCUUUUAAGGGCAUCUCCACAUUAAUGAGUCCUAGAAGUACGUUGUGUUUCCAAGAGCUCCUAGAGGGACAAAACAAUUCCUUGUGCACAGGAUCUGGUUCCUUCUACCAAUGCUUUUCCUGCCCCUUUCUAGCAGUCCCCCUGUGGCUCUACGUGAGACCAAGGACAACUUCUUAUACUGAUACAACAUAAAAUUCCUUGUGCCUACAGGAAGCAAACCAGCGUAACAUUUUACUGACAUCAGCAUCAUGCAUACAUCACAAAAGUUACUCGUGAACAUUCAACAUCGUGAUAAGUAUCAAACAGGGGAAAAAACAGUUGCCAAUCACUUUCAUAGAAACAGCAUUUAUUAAAAAAAUAAAAGUAAAAUCAAAUGUCUCCUUCGGUUAUCAGUAAAAAUCAGUCAAUCAAGAAAAGAAAAAAAAAGGAAGCUAAGGACAACGUUGCUGCUGACCUACUGGCAAAAACGAACUGCAAAAACACAACAGCGUUGUAAGCUCUACAGGAAAGCACUUGAAAAAUCAGACACUUUUAGAAGCCUGAUUCAAUUUCACUAUGAGAACAAAAGAGACUCCUAACACAACGUGCAGUAACAACGGACAAAAAUUAUAUUAAGCACGAAUUCACUGUUUUGUUUCUUUAGUGUUUCUAACCCAAAGCAGAAGCUCAGAUCUACCACCUGAAGACUGUCUGGUCCAUAGUGAGCCCUGUUCGCUACGUUCCUGUCUCAGAGAACGUUGCCUGUGGUUGCAGGACAAGCCAGGCUAUUGCAAAAGGGCUGGGUCAGGCCUAGCUGCUGCGCCACCACAGGCCACCUUUCUUGCCCAUCUCCCACCCCAAAUCAGCACCCAGUAGGAUUAGUGAGCUUUUCCCACUCACCCUGCAGCCCUGACAUUAAAACUAAUCAGGCAUCUGAGGAAUCUGAUGCAAUACAUAUUUAAUGUACCAUAUCAAGGUUUGUCUGUGUAAGAUGCUGUGAUGCAGUACCUUGUAUGUGCAAAAUCGCUGCCAAUGUAUUCACUUUUCUGCAAACCAUUUGGCAGAAAUCUGUGAAGCUACUUAAUAAGGGGCUGAAUCCACGGACGUUUGCAUUUAAUACUGUGCGUAUGGGAAACGGUGAGCUUCAUUCAGUUGUUAGCCCUCUAACAGAGUUUCGUGUUUAUAAAUCCACGUAUGAAAAACAAUCGUGUUUACUUUUUCGUUUACUUUUUCUUCACUAUGACUCAAAUUCUCCCUUUUCCUAAAACAUUCAAGAUAAACAGUAUCACCUUAUGUGCACACAUAGCAGUAGUCAGGAUACCUACCCUGCCAACGAUUGAUUCCUAAGUUACAUUUCAUCUCUGCAACACAAUGGCACAGCACUGGCACUCUCUUGUCUCUGCUCAACCAUUUUUCCCAGCUACAAGUCACUCUCUAUCAGGUCAAAAAUGGCUCCAGACACUCCACCACUACAGAAUCAUUUAGGUUUGAAAUAAUGCAUUUGGGGCCUACUUAAGGUUUAACUUCACAUUUAUACCUGAUCUGAAGCAAUCUGGAGUUACUAAAUAGAGAGAUGGCCCAGACCUCACCUUGGCACCUCAAAUUCCUGUGCCUGCGUGACUUCUGAAGAUUUACACGGCCUCCUAAUUGUUACAACUGAUGCACGAAAAAUGGCGAGGUUUAAGGGAGAAGAGGGGGAGAGAGUAAAAGCAGAGACCUUCCCUCAGUGUCUGCCCCUGGUUACAUUCUGUAUAGUUCAAAAAUACAUAUGUAUAAAAAUAAUUAAAAAAGAAAACAGCUGCAAACAGUUAACAAAAAUUGGAAUUCAUUCUACAUAAUACUGCUUACUAGUAAUGACUUACAGUGUGGAAAACACCAACAUACAAAAAGCAUUUGCAGAAGUAGAGUAGGUUCUUCUAACACUAAGCAGGCAGAGUUCCUCUGGCAAAGACUACAUAAACCCUGGUGUAAUUGUACAGAAUCAAUCUGAAAUUCAAAAUUAAACUAUAAUAAAUAAAUUAAAUCAUAGUGGUGAGCAACUUUACAAGUCUUCCAUUCCUACCGUAUGUAUGAACAUAGGACAUUCCUGCAUAAGCUGAGGAAGGAAGAACAUUCUUCUUUUAGUAAAAAUCACGGUGUUUCUGGUUACGCUUACAAACAUCAAAACACAAAUGCACAAACAUCAGACUGAACGUGGUGUGCCAGGUAAGUGUGUAAAGGUUUCAAAAAUAGCUCGUGACUUUACAGAAUUUUUGAAGAAAAAACAUCUUUUUCAACGGAAUAUAUGUCAACAGGUACAGGUAGGAAGAAUACAACUGUGGAGACUACAACGAACAAGGUAUGGCCAUCUGAGCUAUGAAGUAGCACAGGCCUUGGGUUCCAAUCUUCAACACAAACUCCCCUUUCCCCACAAGAAACAGAUGUAUGCAUUACAGUGCACAUACUGUAUGCAGAGUUCUAAAAUUGAAUUUCUGUCUUAGUAUGAGCCGUCUUUGAAGGAUUCUGAUAUAUCUUGGUUGGCAGCAUCGUACUCAGCAAUGAAAUGUUUGAGUUCUUCAAUGCAUCGCUCACCUAUUUCAUGCAAAUUCUGCCUCAGAGCAAACUGAAUGGACUUCUCUAAUGAUGGAUCUUUAUCAAUCAGCAUCUUCACCACCAUGCCAAAGGUUUCACAGUCUUGUCUGUAUACCUGUUCAAUCUCCUUGGUUUUAGUUGCAAUUGCUUUUGAGCGGCAAAGAAGUUGGUUAUCCUCAUAUAAUUCCGUACUGUCAGUUACAUUUGUUUCUGUUUCCUCUGUUUGUUCGACAUAUAAUGGAGCUGAAGAUCCAGCCUCAUACUCUGUUCUUUCAGGUAAAUUGUUUUCAUCGGCCUUCUCUAACUUCUCAGCUGCCCAUUUGCUUGCAGCUUCUGCAAGUUCCUUUUCUGAUAGUCUGUUGCUCUUCUCCACGGUCUUUGUCGAGGGUACUGCUGUGGAACCCGAUGGUGAUGCAUCUCUUGAUGUUUUCGACGACUGAACUGAAGUCCUCUCUUUACCUUGCUGAGAAGAAAUAUUUCUUUUAUGUAAAGAUGACAUACUUCUGCUAUGCUGGGACUGGUGGAAAGGAUAGGCUUUGCUUCUUUCAGGAGAGUAGCUUCUGCUGCUCACACUGGAGCCAGAUCUGCUGUGCGGAGAAUCCCUUCGGCUCACUGGUGAUUCCCUGAAGAAAGGAGAGUCUCUCUUAUGAGGGGAUCGUUCUCUCAUAUAAUGAGAGGGAUGGAAGCUUUUCCUUCUGAAGCCAUCUCUGACCUUCCUGUAUUCAGUCUGCCGAUUCAUAGGAUGAUCAUCU